GCGUUGAAUAGACAGCGGUUUCAUCUGUUCAUUCAAUUAUAUAUGAGACCCUCAUGCUUUGUUUUGGUUGCAGGGUGGUUUGACAGAGAUCUGUUUGCACUGUCUCGCCUCACCGCAUGCAGUUGAGACUAUAUGUUGAUGCUACUGAGCAGCGACAACAUGGAUGACGGCCAUCAGAAACACCACAUAAAGUUAAGGUUAUUUUAUUUCCUAUGGCAAGAGGCAUGAAUGGCCGUAUUGUGAAGAAAUUUGUCAAGUUAGCUUGUGUCAUCAAAGAUAUUUAUUUGUGGUAGAUUUUUGGCAGGUCCCAUAGAGACCUCCAAGGGAUAUGGAGAUUUGGAUGACCUGAAAAAGCCUUCAAAGACAGGUUCUGGCUGAAAUUAGGAGGAGAGGAACAAAACUGGAUACUGAAGUCUGCCGGGAAGGAUAAAGAAAAAUAGCAGCCUUCACUAAAUUUGGUUAACAUAGUGCAUGCCAUUUAUAUCAGUAAGACACAUGUGUAUAUCUAAUAGUUAAUUGUUUAUGUUCUGCAAGAUUUUUCAAUAUGAAAUCUAGAGGUGUUGUCGUCAAUCUUUGAUACAAAGACUGGGCAAUUAUAUAUUAGGUGUACAAUGGUCAUUCCAUCACAUUUCUUUGAAUUCCCUGUGCAAAUAAGCUAUAUAUGUUUAAAGAACGGUUUUCACAUUUACUUAAACUGGAGAACAUGUUUAAAUCCUAUUGUAGUGAUCUAUUUUUCUUUGCAUAUAGAGAACAUACAGGUUGAGAUAUAUGCACUCACAGAAAGUAGAUUAAUUGGGCUGAGGAGGUGAUGCAUACAUAUAUUCUGUACUAAGCUAGCUUCUAGGAUGUUGCAACCA